rnacentral:snoRNA from 1 species
UNGUUGUUACCAGGCUUUUAGAAUUCAAUUUCUCAUUUGCUCUUGACAUAAGGAAACCAUCCCCUUAGGGUUUUCCAUAUACUACUUUGUUAGUAGGCAGCUUGUUGGGAACAUUU